rnacentral:rRNA from 1 species
CAAUAGCGUAUAUUAAAGUUGUUGCAGUUAAAAAGCUCGUAGUUGGACUUCUGGCUUGGUGAGGUGGUCCGCCGCAAGGUGUGCACUGUUUUGUCGAGCCUUCUUCUCGUAGUUGGUGGGUGCACUUAACUGGGCGCCUAUUGAAUAUGGGACCUUUACUUUGAAGAAAUGAGAGUGUUUCAAGCAGGCAUGCGCCGUGAAUACGUUAGCAUGGAAUAAUAGCAUCGGACCUCGUUCCAAAGCUGUUGGUUUCUUGGACCGAGGUAAAGGUGAAUAGGGAUUGUUGGGGGCGAUUCGUAUUUAACUGUCAGAGGUGAAAUUACUUGGAUUUGUUGAAGACGGACUACUGCGAAAGCAUCUGCCAAAGAUGUUCUCAUUGAUCAAGAACGAAAGUUAAGGUGAUCGAAGACGAUCAGAUACCAU